GACGAACCGUGCAAACGUUGUUCGGAAUCACUGGGCUUAAAGGGCGCGUAGGCGGGCCAGCCAGUCUGUGGUGAAAGCCUCCAGCUUAACUGGAGAAGUGCCGUGGAUACUGCUGGCCUCGAGGAGGAUAGGGGCAUCUGGAACGGUCGGUGGAGCGGUGAAAUGCGUUGAUAUCGACCGGAACUCCGGUGGCGAAGGCGAGGUGCUGGGUCCUUUCUGACGCUGAUGCGCGAAAGCCAGGGGAGCAACAGG
rnacentral:rRNA from 1 species